GCCCAGAGCCUGAAUCAGUGUGUGUGUUAGUGGAAGCGUCUGGAAAGGCGCGCGAUACAGGGUGACAGCCCCGUACACAAAAAUGCACAUGCUGUGAGCUCGAUGAGUAGGGCGGGACACGUGGUAUCCUGUCUGAAUAUGGGGGGACCAUCCUCCAAGGCUAAAUACUCCUGACUGACCGAUAGUGAACCAGUACCGUGAGGGAAAGGCGAAAAGAACCCCGGCGAGGGGAGUGAAAAAGAACCUGAAACCGUGUACGUACAAGCAGUGGGAGCACAGAGCAAUCUGUGUGACUGCGUACCUUUUGUAUAAUGGGUCAGCGACUUAUAUUCUGUAGCAAGGUUAACCGAAUAGGGGAGCCGAAGGGAAACCGAGUCUUAACUGGGCGUUAAGUUGCAGGGUAUAGACCCGAAACCCGGUGAUCUAGCCAUGGGCAGGUUGAAGGUUGGGUAACACUAACUGGAGGACCGAACCGACUAAUGUUGAAAAAUUAGCGGAUGACUUGUGGCUGGGGGUGAAAGGCCAAUCAAACCGGGAGAUAGCUGGUUCUCCCCGAAAGCUAUUUAGGUAGCGCCUCGUGAAUUCAUCUCCGGGGGUAGAGCACUGUUUCGGCAAGGGGGUCAUCCCGACUUACCAACCCGAUGCAAACUGCGAAUACCGGAGAAUGUUAUCACGGGAGACACACGGCGGGUGCUAACGUCCGUCGUGAAGAGGGAAACAACCCAGACCGCCAGCUAAGGUCCCAAAGUCAUGGUUAAGUGGGAAACGAUGUGGGAAGGCCCAGACAGCCAGGAUGUUGGCUUAGAAGCAGCCAUCAUUUAAAGAAAGCGUAAUAGCUCACUGGUCGAGUCGGCCUGCGCGGAAGAUGUAACGGGGCUAAACCAUGCACCGAAGCUGCGGCAGCGACACUAUGUGUUGUUGGGUAGGGGAGCGUUCUGUAAGCCUGUGAAGGUGUGCUGUGAGGCAUGCUGGAGGUAUCAGAAGUGCGAAUGCUGACAUAAGUAACGAUAAAGCGGGUGAAAAGCCCGCUCGCCGGAAGACCAAGGGUUCCUGUCCAACGUUAAUCGGGGCAGGGUGAGUCGACCCCUAAGGCGAGGCCGAAAGGCGUAGUCGAUGGGAAACAGGUUAAUAUUCCUGUACUUGGUGUUACUGCGAAGGGGGGACGGAGAAGGCUAUGUUGGCCGGGCGACGGUUGUCCCGGUUUAAGCGUGUAGGCUGGUUUUCCAGGCAAAUCCGGAAAAUCAAGGCUGAGGCGUGAUGACGAGGCACUACGGUGCUGAAGCAACAAAUGCCCUGCUUCCAGGAAAAGCCUCUAAGCAUCAGGUAACAUCAAAUCGUACCCCAAACCGACACAGGUGGUCAGGUAGAGAAUACCAAGGCGCUUGAGAGAACUCGGGUGAAGGAACUAGGCAAAAUGGUGCCGUAACUUCGGGAGAAGGCACGCUGAUAUGUAGGUGAAGCGACUUGCUCGUGGAGCUGAAAUCAGUCGAAGAUACCAGCUGGCUGCAACUGUUUAUUAAAAACACAGCACUGUGCAAACACGAAAGUGGACGUAUACGGUGUGACGCCUGCCCGGUGCCGGAAGGUUAAUUGAUGGGGUCAGCGCAAGCGAAGCUCUUGAUCGAAGCCCCGGUAAACGGCGGCCGUAACUAUAACGGUCCUAAGGUAGCGAAAUUCCUUGUCGGGUAAGUUCCGACCUGCACGAAUGGCGUAAUGAUGGCCAGGCUGUCUCCACCCGAGACUCAGUGAAAUUGAACUCGCUGUGAAGAUGCAGUGUACCCGCGGCAAGACGGAAAGACCCCGUGAACCUUUACUAUAGCUUGACACUGAACAUUGAGCCUUGAUGUGUAGGAUAGGUGGGAGGCUUUGAAGUGUGGACGCCAGUCUGCAUGGAGCCGACCUUGAAAUACCACCCUUUAAUGUUUGAUGUUCUAACGUUGACCCGUAAUCCGGGUUGCGGACAGUGUCUGGUGGGUAGUUUGACUGGGGCGGUCUCCUCCUAAAGAGUAACGGAGGAGCACGAAGGUUGGCUAAUCCUGGUCGGACAUCAGGAGGUUAGUGCAAUGGCAUAAGCCAGCUUGACUGCGAGCGUGACGGCGCGAGCAGGUGCGAAAGCAGGUCAUAGUGAUCCGGUGGUUCUGAAUGGAAGGGCCAUCGCUCAACGGAUAAAAGGUACUCCGGGGAUAACAGGCUGAUACCGCCCAAGAGUUCAUAUCGACGGCGGUGUUUGGCACCUCGAUGUCGGCUCAUCACAUCCUGGGGCUGAAGUAGGUCCCAAGGGUAUGGCUGUUCGCCAUUUAAAGUGGUACGCGAGCUGGGUUUAGAACGUCGUGAGACAGUUCGGUCCCUAUCUGCCGUGGGCGCUGGAGAACUGAGGGGGGCUGCUCCUAGUACGAGAGGACCGGAGUGGACGCAUCACUGGUGUUCGGGUUGUCAUGCCAAUGGCACUGCCCGGUAGCUAAAUGCGGAAGAGAUAAGUGCUGAAAGCAUCUAAGCACGAAACUUGCCCCGAGAUGAGUUCUCCCUGACUCCUUGAGAGUCCUGAAGGAACGUUGAAGACGACGACGUUGAUAGGCCGGGUGUGUAAGCGCAGCGAUGCGUUGAGCUAACCGGUACUAAUGAACCGUGAGGCUUAACCUUACAACGCCGAAGGUGUUU
rnacentral:rRNA from 1 species